rnacentral:sRNA from 1 species
GUAGGGUGCAGUGGUGCACACCUGUAAUCCCAGCAGCUCUGGAGGCUGAGGCAGGAGGAUCCUGAGUUCAAAGCUAGCCUCAGAAAAAGCGAGGUGCUAAGCAACUCAGUGAGACCCUGUCUCUA